rnacentral:rRNA from 1 species
ACGGAAGGCAGCAGUGGGGAAUAUUGGACAAUGGGGGCAACCCUGAUCCAGCGACGCCGCGUGAGUGAAGAAGUAUUUCGGUAUGUAAAGCUCUUUAAGCAGGGAAGAUAAUGACGGUACCUGCAGAAUAAGCCCCGGCUAACUACGUGCCAGCAGCCGCGGUAAUACGUAGGGGGCAAGCGUUAUCCGGAUUUACUGGGUGUAAGGGAGCGUAGACGGCAAACCAAGUCUGAAGUGAAAGCCCGCGGCUCAACUGCGGAACUGCUUUGGAAACUGGUUAGCUAGAGUGUCGGAGAGGUGAGUGGAAUUCCCAGUGUAGCGGUGAAAUGCGUAGAUAUUGGGAGGAACACCGGUGGCGAAGGCGGCUCACUGGACGAUAACUGACGUUGAGGCUCGAAAGCGUGGGGAGCAAACAGGAUUAGAUACCCUGGUA